AGUUAAAAAUUUCAUUCAUUUGUACUAUUAAAAAUUGACGUGACUGAUAGAAUAAUCAUGUGUACCUCAUGCUAAUGUAUAAGGAUCAAUUUUUAGCAUUAGAAAUGAAUGAAAUUUUUAACA
rnacentral:pre_miRNA from 1 species